GAAAGUAAAAAAUAACCUAGUUUGAUUUUAAUUUUUUAGACCUUUUUUAGGUAUUAUGAAUUGAUGGAUUGGUUUGUAAGUGUUCUAAAGAUGUUAGAAAUGUGUUCUUGGGUUGAAAUGACUUAGAAAUUAGGUUUUU